rnacentral:tRNA from 1 species
AUUUAAGUAGUUUAAUAAAAUAAAGAAUUGUGAUUUCUAAGAUGAUAUUUUUAUCCUUAAGUU